GAAAAAAAUCAUGACGCAACCAUUAAAGCAACUAAAAAUUUAAGACAAGUAAGUUCAAAUAAAAGUUAUAAAGACAAAUAGAAUUUCGGAGCCUAACAAGAUUUGACUUUAAUAACUUUGGACAUUCUAGGAUAUAGGGCCUGUUUAGAAGUCAGGUUUUUGGAUAAGUUGUUUACCUACAAGUUUUUUAACAACUUUUGUUAUAGGAACCCCAAAAAAUCUUCUCAAAGUUUUUUACCUACACACUUCAAAAUACCCAAAACACACAAAAAAAAUUUCCUUCUCUUUUUUUCUUCUUCCACCCCUAUCCCAACCCAUACCACCGCCGGUGUCGACCACCACCGCUGUUUUGUCCCCUAUCCUGCGGAGAUGCGCCUGGCUUGUUGAUGGCUGUGGAGAAGGUGCAUGUUGGGGAAAGGGCAAGGGG
rnacentral:lncRNA from 1 species